ACAAACUUGGUCAUUUAGAGGAAGUAAAAGUCGUAACAAGGUUUCCGUAGGUGAACCUGCGGAAGGAUCAUUACGGGUUUCCGCGUCCGCGUGGCGCGACCCCCCACCCUUGUGUUCUCUCCACGUUGCUUCGGCGGGCCGCGGGGUCUCCCCCGCCCCCCGGGUCCCCCCAGGGGCGUGCCCGCCGAAGACCCUUUGCAAACGCUUUGUCGCAAACCGGCGGUCUGAACGUCUCAGCGAAAUCAAUCAAAACUUUCAACAACGGAUCUCUUGGUUCUGGCAUCGAUGAAGAACGCAGC
rnacentral:misc_RNA from 1 species